GUCUCCUUAGUAUAAACUAGUACAGUUGACUUCCAAUCAGCCAGUUCUGGACACCACCCAGAAGGAAACA
rnacentral:tRNA from 1 species